rnacentral:rRNA from 1 species
UACGAAGGGGGCUAGCGUUGCUCGGAAUUACUGGGCGUAAAGCGCACGUAGGCGGCUCUUUAAGUCGGGGGUGAAAUCCUGGAGCUCAACUCCAGAACUGCCUUCGAUACUGGAGAGCUCGAGUCCGGGAGAGGUGAGUGGAACUGCGAGUGUAGAGGUGAAAUUCGUAGAUAUUCGCAAGAACACCAAUGGCGAAAGCAGCUCUCUGGGACGGUACUGGACGCUGAGACGCGAAAGCGUGGG